UUUAUUUGAAACCUUUUGUACUAUCGUAAAUGCCUUUACAGUCACUUUUGAUCAUUAGAUUAUACAGCUGAGGACGUUCACAUGGAAAGGGGUUAUUUUUUUGUAUUCUCGCUUCAUAAUUAUGGUUGAAGCAUCAAUGUCACGUGGACUAUUUUUUACAAUGUCCGGGGUCAGAAAGCUUUUAGAUUUCAUUACAUUUUUCAUUAAGCAAAAGUGAAUUAUUACCGGCAAUUUUUUGAAAGCUGUUUUUUUUUAAAGCCGCUAAUCCAUUUCAACCCAAUGAAGUAACUCGUGCAAACAGUGCUUGAUAAAUAUACUUUUUUAUUAUGGUACGUGGUACAUCUUUGAGGCCACACAACUAGGAUCGGUUAGACGACCCGUUGGUGAGCAAGUGAUGUAAUGCUGAAUUUCUCCAAACCUAUUCCCAUGAAGAAAUCAAACCCAUCUAUAUCACGGCUGGCCUGAGGCUUAGUGAAUCCUAAGCAAAUUUUCAUUUUUGGGUCAACUAUUGCUUUAAACUCAGUCAAUUUCACAUUUUCCAGAGAUCAUGUACCAUGUCAGAAAAUACACCUAAUUGUAAUUCAGCUCCCACUGUGGGGUCUGUAGCUGAGAAAGCCAUUAGCACCAAGAAAUGAUAUUACACCCUUGACCUCGUCCUGCUGCCAGCGAUGAAUUUUUAUGGCCAAGUUGUUUGUUCAUCACCAGAGACAUAUGCGGAGGUAAUGGCCUAGAUCACUGCCAGUGUUGACUUGAUUUUCAAGGCUUUGUUGAUUUUGUCAGAAGUUACGGAGUGGAAAUAAGACAGUUACUUGUGAAUUGAACUAAUUCAAUGAUCAUUAGCCUUCUCUGGGCUAUCCAGUCACCUAUUUGCUUUUGGGGAUCACGUCAGACCUCGGUUAAUUAGCACAGAUACGAGGUAUCUUUUUGUUAUAGCGAAGCUCCUGCUUGAAGAUCAAAACAUCAGCAAAUAGAUAUUUCAAUAUAACAUAUCAUUUUACUUGAUUAAAGUUUUUGUCUUCUCUGUAAAAGCAACUUUCCUGGGUUUAUAAUUGCGUAAUAAAAAUACGUUUCAUGAACUGAUAGCAGUUAAUUUACCUGAUAACAUUAUUUAACUUAUCAUGGAAUUAUAUUCCAAUAUCAUUAUGCCUCAUUUACCUAGAUAUAGAUAAAGAGUUGUCUGCUGUUUAAUAUUUUUGUUCUGUUUAAAUCAUGGGUGUGUUAGAUUUGGGGAAAUAAACAGCCGGAGAAAGCAAUAUCAUAGUUAGAGCACUCAUAUUUUAGCCAGAAAUGACGCUUUGAAAUUAUAAAAUGCCUCAAAAUGCUUCUUGACCAGACAUUAAUCGACUGACUGGGGUGUUGUGGAUACCUUGUGGAUUAUUGUGCUGUUUUUAUCAGCUGUUUGGUCUCCCAUUUUGAAGACACCCAUUCGCAGCAUUGUUUUCGUGGCCACAUCUGCAGACAUGCUCAGAAAACCCCCAUUCCCUGUGACCCAGCACAGACCCAGGCGCAGUUUCGAUUAUCCGCUGGAUAGCAGCUGAAGAAGGCUGUAAGAUCACUUCACACUUCAGAGAGCUGGAUCUGAGCUUCAGUCACCUUACAUGCCCGGCCUGAUCUUCUCAAGCAUCCGUAUAUUGUCAGCUAGUGAAGCUCAAGCAUGCCAUUCGUGCAACAUAAAGGUGAGGUAACAUUUACCUUUGCUCAGCAAAAUUUCAAAGGAGAAAUACAAUAAUUUCUAAUGGAAUAGACUGGCAAGAAUAGGCAAAAAAAACCCAGACUUCUGAGAUAAAGGGCCCUAUUGUAAUGCUCUAAGUGCAGGAUCUAAAGAGCAUGGUGGGCAUUUUGGUGUGUAAAAAUUGCAUUUCUGAGCUUAUUUCUUCUAAGAAGUGACAGAAGAAAGUCUGGGAGAUACAAAAAGAGCUGGGAGAUACAAAAAAGAAGAAAUAAGUUGUUCCAUGCUAUUAACAAUUCACUUUUGUGUGCAUGCAGUAUUUGUCUGAAAUUUCACUAAUGCAACCGUCUUGAUGCUUAAGUCAUUUUUUUUUAUUUGGUGGCAGAUCGUUUAAGGGUCACGGGAAAACCCAUGCAUUUAUUAAAAGCCUCCGCCUCUUGUUCAGGUACACCUUUUUUAGCAUUAGUUUUUCCAUUGGAAUCACUUGAAUUUCUCAUGAUCUGGAUUCAGAGAAGCUUCCCCAGAGUUUCUGCAGCGGCAUGACACGAUAACACCAUGCAGAUGCUGCAGUCGGCUGCGCGUUCAUGCCACAAAUCUGUUCCACCUCAAACCGAAGGUGGUCUAUUAAACUGAGAUCUCAUGACUGUGGAGGUCAUUGCAAUACAAGAAACACAUUGUGGAAACAGUCCGAGAUGACGUAUCAUUUUAGACACGGUGCUUAGCCAUCAAAACACGGCUAGCCUGUGACCAUAAAGCACUGCUGGGAAGUUCACGCAAUAUGCAAUUGUUGUUAAAUGGCCUAAUGUGUCGAAAAUGUUCCCAUUACAUUAUCAGUACAGUUGACUGUUAUCUGUGUCAGAAUUCAUCAGAUCAGGUGAUGUUUUUCUAUACUGCUUUUUUCUUCUUUUUUUUUUUUAUUACUUCGGCAAGGAUGCAUUAAGUUGAUCAAAAGUGACAGUGAAGACAUGUAUAGCAUUACAAAAGAUUUCUAUUUCAAAUAAAUGCUGUUUUCUUGAACUUUACAUCCAUCUAAGAAUGCCGUAUCAUGGUUUUCAAAUCUGAAUUAAAGGAUAAUGCGACACCGAAGACUGGAGUAAUGAUGCUGAAAAUUCAUCUUUGUCUGACAGGAGUAAAUUGCAUUUAAUACAGUUAUUUGAAAUUGUAAUAAUACUUUGAAUAUGUAAAUGCUUCCAACAUAUCCUUUGUGAGCACAAGAGUAAUUUUAAAGGGCAGUAAAUAUUUAGCUGAAGCCUUAAAAGUGACUGACAUUCCAGUUGAUAUUUGCUGAAAAGAACAACACGGAUAACAAGUGAGUGAAUUACGUUGCAUUUGUAUGUUAUUUAAGGGGACUGUAAAGAAAACAAUCGUACUUGGCGGUUCUUUUCGAAACGAGCUUGCGUCAGGUGACAUGCAGCACUGCUUACCGGUUUUUGGGUUCCCUGAGAACUGUACAAAAACAAGGCCUGAUUCAUCAGACACAAGCAGAACGGAUUUGAGUGUAAUUCAUUUGUACGACCGCACUUGCAUAACUUGUCUCACUGAAUGAAGCGAAUUACAUAAUAAUGAAUUUAUAAACAAUUUACACGGACUCCUCCUGCUAUCAAUAAGACCUGCUACAAAAAAAAGGAACUGCAAUGUCACACUAAAGUAACGUCA